rnacentral:lncRNA from 1 species
UAUGUAAUGAAAAAAGAACUUGGUGUCUUGUAAGUAUGUGAGAGUAAGUUGAAUAGAAAUAAGGAGAGAGGAGCGUAGGUUAAUGUUUAGAUAAUGGCUUGGGUGUUUUUUCUUUGUUUUUGGGUUUUGUAAAGAGUCUCAAGUCAAGAAGGGAAUUUGUUGUGUAUUUAGUGGAGUGAUUUAAGUAAAACACUGGAACAGUGUAUAUAAAUCCAACUGCUGUUUGCUUAUGAAUCACACCAAUGUGGCUGGAAAUCCUGAUACGUAAAGAAGAUGGAAUCUCAGUAUAUUGUGUGUUUAUCAUUCAAACUCAAGGAGGGAUAGGAAAUGUCAAAGGUG